rnacentral:rRNA from 1 species
ACUGCUCAGUAACACGUGAUCAACUUACCCUAAAGCGGUGUAUAACCUCGGGAAACUGAGGAUAAUACACCAUAAUUGAAACUGCCUGGAAUGGUUUUUCAAUGAAAGAGUAAUCUGAAUGGAGGUUAUUUCACCUUAGGAUAGGAUCGCGCCCGAUUAUGGCUGUUGGUGAGGUAACGGCUCACCAAACCUAUUAUCGGUAAGGGCCGUGAGAGCGGUAGCCCUGAGUUGGGUACUGAGACAAUGACCCAGGUCUUACGAGACGCAGCAGGCGCGAAAUCUUGACAAUACACGAAAGUGUGAUCAGGUUACCCGGAGUGCUACAAAGUAGCUGUGGCAAGUGAGUUUAAUUCCUUGCUAGGAAGGAGAGGGCAAGGCUGGUGCCAGCCGCCGCGGUAAAACCAGCUCUUCAAGUGGUCGGGACUAUUAUUGGGCUUAAAGUGUCCGUAGCCGGUAUAGUAAGUUCCUGGUUAAAUCGGAUAGCUUAACUAUCUGUUGGCUAGGAAUACUGCUAUACUAGGGGGCGGGAGAGGUCUGAGGUACUCCAGGGGUAGGGGUGAAAUCCUAUAAUCCUUGGGGGACCACCAGUGGCGAAGGCGUCAGACUGGAACGCGCUCGACGGUGAGGGACGAAAGCCAGGGGAGCGAACCGGAUUAGAUACCCGGGUAGUCCUGGCUGUAAACGAUGCGUGCUAGGUGUUGGUAUGGCCUUGAGCCGUAUCAGUGCCGUAGGGAAACCGAUAAGCACGCCGCCUGGGGAGUACGGUCGCAAGACUGAAACUUAAAGGAAU